rnacentral:lncRNA from 7 species
AAGGAAACUAAAAAUAGUGUGUUCGUUGUAUCAAAAUCUGUACACAUAUUCGGGCAGACAUACAGAAACCGGGGGUAUGUGAGCCUCCAUCCUCUUUUUCCCUCCUUUCUGACAGGGAGCUGGAGGAGGACGCUGGACCAGAGCCCAGGAUGGAGUGACGCUGCGAGUGCCCAUUGCUUGCUACCAGCUCUGCUGCAGCCACAAGACCACAGCAUUUAACCAGGUCAGGAGCUGGCUGCUCAUCGAGGCAGGACAGAAGUCUUUCCUUGCUUCACCAUGAUGGGACCCAGUUCCGUUUCUGGGUGGCUUUUGCUCUCCAGUGCUGUCAUCAGCAGUGUCCCAGUGCAACCCAAGGUUGUUACUUCGUUUAGAGCAGCAGCCAUCAGCUUGCAGCAUCCAAAAGAUGCAAUGAGAGUUACCCAUCCACAGCCCAGCAUCAGCAGUGCCUCCCGCAGUCACAGCACUGAAUCAGGGGAUCUUGGCCAGCUCUCCUCAUCCUAAGGUUUCCUGCUGGGAAUGUCUCAUUUUCCGUGGCUGAGAGCCUUGCUCUUGUGGGCGUUGAUUUGGUCGUUGCACAGAGGAAGAGAGGUGGAAGCAGCAGGAUUUGAUGCAACAGUUUGGGAACCAGAUGUGGCUAUGAACUGGACUCCAAAAAGCAAAAGCAAAACAAAAAACAUUGGUAGCAUCCAGAAAUAGACCUCAGGGAAGAGGUCAACGCAAGUGGCUGGGAAGGUCCCAGGUGAAAAUCCUCCUGCAGCAACCACUAAACAAACCUUAUUUAGACUGAGACCAUGGUGGCCUCCUUCCUUUUAUCUUCUUAUUGUGGCUGUCAGCCUGAGACACUACCUUAAUCAUAUUUUUCAAGUGGGAGAGCCAAGGAAGGAGUGUUACCAUGUUACCACACAGUUCAUGUGGCUUAAAUGAGAGCUGCUAUGGGUGUUUUGGCACAGAGCUUCCAGACAGAAAGCAUGGCAUUUUUUUUCUGUGACAUACAGGGGGAAAAAAAAAAAAUCAGGGAAAAAAAAGUGCUUUGGCUGCUUAAAUUGAAUGUAAACAAAAACAUACAGAC